AGAGUUUGAUCCUGGCUCAGGAUGAGCGCUGGCGGCGUGCUUAACACAUGCAAGUCGAACGAUGAUCCCAGCUUGCUGGGGGAUUAGUGGCGAACGGGUGAGUAACACGUGAGUAACCUGCCCUUAACUCUGGGAUAAGCCUGGGAAACUGGGUCUAAUACCGGAUAUGACUCCUCAUCGCAUGGUGGGGGGUGGAAAGCUUUAUUGUGGUUUUGGAUGGACUCGCGGCCUAUCAGCUUGUUGGUGAGGUAAUGGCUCACCAAGGCGACGACGGGUAGCCGGCCUGAGAGGGUGACCGGCCACACUGGGACUGAGACACGGCCCAGACUCCUACGGGAGGCAGCAGUGGGGAAUAUUGCACAAUGGGCGAAAGCCUGAUGCAGCGACGCCGCGUGAGGGAUGACGGCCUUCGGGUUGUAAACCUCUUUCAGUAGGGAAGAAGCGAAAGUGACGGUACCUGCAGAAGAAGCGCCGGCUAACUACGUGCCAGCAGCCGCGGUAAUACGUAGGGCGCAAGCGUUAUCCGGAAUUAUUGGGCGUAAAGAGCUCGUAGGCGGUUUGUCGCGUCUGCCGUGAAAGUCCGGGGCUCAACUCCGGAUCUGCGGUGGGUACGGGCAGACUAGAGUGAUGUAGGGGAGACUGGAAUUCCUGGUGUAGCGGUGAAAUGCGCAGAUAUCAGGAGGAACACCGAUGGCGAAGGCAGGUCUCUGGGCAUUAACUGACGCUGAGGAGCGAAAGCAUGGGGAGCGAACAGGAUUAGAUACCCCCGUAGUCC
rnacentral:rRNA from 1 species